rnacentral:tRNA from 1 species
AGGGGGUAAAUCGAUUGGAGCAGAUACUUGGCUUUGACCCAAGGUGAGUCGGGUUCGAUUCCCACACCCCCUUCCA